rnacentral:rRNA from 1 species
UGAGUGCGAGCUGCUACGGCAGCGAAGUUGGUGAUGUCAUGCUUCCAAGAAAAGCCCUAUACCCGUUAAGGCAUCAUGGCCUGUACCCGAAACCGACACAGGUGGGGUGGUAGAGAAUACCGAGGGGCGCGAGGUAACUCUCUCUAAGGAACUCGGCAAAAUGGCCCCGUAACUUCGGGAGAAGGGGUGCCACCGCAAGGUGGUCGCAGUGAAGAGGCCCAGGCGACUGUUUACCAAAAACACAGGUCUCCGCUAAGUCGCAAGACGAUGUAUGGGGGCUGACGCCUGCCCAGUGCCGGAAGGUUAAGGAAGCUGGUCAGCGCAAGCGAAGCUAGCGACUGAAGCCCCGGUGAACGGCGGCCGUAACGAUAACGGUCCUAAGGUAGCGAAAUUCCUUGUCGGGUAAGUUCCGACCCGCACGAAAGGCGUAACGAUCUGGGCGCUGUCUCGGAGAGAGGCUCGGCGAAAUAGAAUUGUCUGUGAAGAUGCGGACUACGUGCACCCGGACAGAAAGACCCUAUGAAGCUUUACUGUAGCUUGGUAUUGUGCCCGGGCUCGCAAUGCGCAGGAUAGGUGGGAGGCUUUGAUCAUCGGCUUGCGGGUCGAUGUGAGCCAACGGUGAGAUACCACUCUUUGCGAGCUAGGGUUCUAACGGCCACCCGUCAUCCGGGGGCCGGACAGUACCUGGUGGGCAGUUUGACUGGGGCGGUCGCCUCCUAAAAGGUAACGGAGGCGCGCAAAGGUUUGCUCAGGCUGGUUGGAAAUCAGCCGACGAGUGUAAAAGCAGAAGCAAGCUUGACUGUGAGACCAACAAGUCGAACAGGGAGGAAACUCGGCUUUAGUGAUCCGACGGUUCUGAGUGGAAGGGCCGUCGCUCAACGGAUAAAAGUUACUCUAGGGAUAACAGGCUGAUCUCCCCCAAGAGUUCACAUCGACGGGGAGGUUUGGCACCUCGAUGUCGGCUCAUCGCAACCUGGGGCUGAAGUCGGUCCCAAGGGUUGGGCUGUUCGCCCAUUAAAGCGGUACGCGAGCUGGGUUCAGAACGUCGUGAGACAGUUCGGUCCAUAUCCGGUGCACGCGCAGGAAUAUUGAGAGGAUUUCUCCCUAGUACGAGAGGACCGGGAGGAACGCACCUCUGGUGUACCAGUUAUCGUGCCAACGGUAAACGCUGGGUAGCCAUGUGCGGAGUGGAUAACCGCUGAAAGCAUCUAAGUGGGAAGCCCACCUCAAGAUGAGUAUUCCCAUGGCGUAAGCCAGUAAGGUCACGGGAAGAACACCCGUUGAUAGGCUCUAUGUGGAAGCGCAGUAAUGCGUGAAGCAGAGGAGUACUAAUAGACCGAGGGCUUGACC